CAGUCGCCGCGGUAAAACGGAGGGUGCAAGCGCUAAUCGGAAUUACUGGGCGUAAAGCGCACGCAGGCGGUCUGUCAAGUCAGAUGUGAAAUCCCCGGGCUUAACCUGGGAACUGCAUUUGAAACUGGCAGGCUAGAGUCUUGUAGAGGGGGGUAGAAUUCCAGGUGUAGCGGUGAAAUGCGUAGAGAUCUGGAGGAAUACCGGUGGCGAAGGCGGCCCCCUGGACAAAGACUGACGCUCAGGUACGAAAGCGUGGGGAGCAAACAGGAUUAGAUACCCCAGUAGUCCCUGUCUCUUAUAC
rnacentral:rRNA from 1 species